GGGUGAGUGACGCGUGGGUAACCUGCCUCGUACAGGGGGAUAACAGUUAGAAAUGACUGCUAAUACCGCAUAAGACCACAGCACCGCAUGGUGCAGGGGUAAAAACUCCGGUGGUAUGAGAUGGACCCGCGUCUGAUUAGCUAGUUGGUAAGGUAACGGCUUACCAAGGCGACGAUCAGUAGCCGACCUGAGAGGGUGACCGGCCACAUUGGGACUGAGACACGGCCCAAACUCCUACGGGAGGCAGCAGUGGGGAAUAUUGCACAAUGGGGGAAACCCUGAUGCAGCGACGCCGCGUGAGCGAAGAAGUAUUUCGGUAUGUAAAGCUCUAUCAGCAGGGAAGAAAAUGACGGUACCUGACUAAGAAGCACCGGCUAAAUACGUGCCAGCAGCCGCGGUAAUACGUAUGGUGCAAGCGUUAUCCGGAUUUACUGGGUGUAAAGGGAGCGUAGACGGAUGGGCAAGUCUGAUGUGAAAACCCGGGGCUCAACCCCGGGACUGCAUUGGAAACUGUUCAUCUAGAGUGCUGGAGAGGUAAGUGGAAUUCCUAGUGUAGCGGUGAAAUGCGUAGAUAUUAGGAGGAACACCAGUGGCGAAGGCGGCUUACUGGACAGUAACUGACGUUGAGGCUCGAAAGCGUGGGGAGCAAACAGGAUUAGAUACCCUGGUAGUCCACGCCGUAAACGAUGACUACUAGGUGUCGGGUGGCA
rnacentral:rRNA from 1 species